GAUGAACGCUGGCGGCGUGCCUAAUACAUGCAAGUCGAGCGAACGGACGAGAAGCUUGCUUCUCUGAUGUUAGCGGCGGACGGGUGAGUAACACGUGGAUAACCUACCUAUAAGACUGGGAUAACUUCGGGAAACCGGAGCUAAUACCGGAUGAUAUUUUGAACCGCAUGGUUCAAAAGUGAAAGACGGUCUUGCUGUCACUUAUAGAUGGAUCCGCGCUGCAUUAGCUGGUUGGUAAGGUAACGGCUUACCAAGGCAACGAUGCAUAGCCGACCUGAGAGGGUGAUCGGCCACUCUGGAACUGAGACACGGUCCAGACUCCUACGGGAGGCAGCAGUAGGGAAUCUUCCGCAAUGGGCGAAAGCCUGACGGAGCAACGCCGCGUGAGUGAUGAAGGUCUUCGGAUCGUAAAACUCUGUUAUUAGGGAAGAACAUAUGUGUAAGUAACUGUGCACAUCUUGACGGUACCUAAUCAGAAAGCCACGGCUAACUACGUG
rnacentral:rRNA from 1 species